rnacentral:rRNA from 1 species
AACGAACGCUGGCGGCAUGCCUAACACAUGCAAGUCGAACGAGACCUUCGGGUCUAGUGGCGCACGGGUGCGUAACACGUGGGAAUCUGCCCUUUGCUUCGGAGUAACAGUUAGAAAUGACUGCUAAUACCGGAUGAUGUCGAAAGACCAAAGAUUUAUCGGCAAAGGAUGAGCCCGCGUAGGAUUAGGUAGUUGGUGGGGUAAAGGCCUACCAAGCCGACGAUCCUUAGCUGGUCUGAGAGGAUGAUCAGCCACACUGGGACUGAGACACGGCCCAGACUCCUACGGGAGGCAGCAGUGGGGAAUAUUGGACAAUGGGCGAAAGCCUGAUCCAGCAAUGCCGCGUGAGUGAUGAAGGCCUUAGGGUUGUAAAGCUCUUUUACCAGGGAUGAUAAUGACAGUACCUGGAGAAUAAGCUCCGGCUAACUCCGUG